AUUGAACGCUGGCGGCAGGCCUAACACAUGCAAGUCGAGCGGAUGAAGGGAGCUUGCUCCUGGAUUCAGCGGCGGACGGGUGAGUAAUGCCUAGGAAUCUGCCUGGUAGUGGGGGAUAACGUCCGGAAACGGGCGCUAAUACCGCAUACGUCCUGAGGGAGAAAGUGGGGGUUCUUCGGACCUCACGCUAUCAGAUGAGCCUAGGUCGGAUUAGCUAGUUGGUGGGGUAAAGGCCUACCAAGGCGACGAUCCGUAACUGGUCUGAGAGGAUGAUCAGUCACACUGGGACUGAGACACGGUCCAGACUCCUACGGGAGGCAGCAGUGGGGAAUAUUGGACAAUGGGCGAAAGCCUGAUCCAGCCAUGCCGCGUGUGUGAAGAAGGUCUUCGGAUUGUAAAGCACUUUAAGUUGGGAGGAAGGGCAGUAAGUUAAUACCUUGCUGUUUUGACGUUACCAACAGAAUAAGCACCGGCUAACUUCGUG
rnacentral:rRNA from 1 species